rnacentral:tRNA from 1 species
AUUUUUGUAGUUGAAUACAACGAUGGUUUUUCAAACCAGUAGUCUUGGUUGAAGCCCAAGCAAGAAUA